AUGGCGCUCAUCACCGAGACCAGUGAGGCCAGUGAGAAGGAAGCUGAGGAGGUUCAUCAUUCCGGUGAAGAGACUAAAAAUGGUCUCCAUCGACGAGGCGGUGCUGCAGGCCACACCGAGAUCCUAUUCCUGUCUGUGGAUAGAUGGGCACAGCCAAAACCCAAUGAGAAAAAGGAACAUCUGGUUGUUGAUGAGGUGCAGCAUGAGUCUGUUGCAGAGAAGGAGAAUGAAGUGCCAUUCUUUGGUGCUCUGUUUCAGAGCGCAAGCAAGUCAACUGAGAGCAAGAAAGAUCUGCUUGUUGAUGAGUCUGUUGCAGUGGAGGAGAAUGAAGUGCCAUUCUUUGGUGCUCUGUUUCAGAGCGCAACCAAGUCAACUGAGAGCAAGAAAGAUCUGUUGUUGAUGAGUCUGUUGCAGAGGAGGAGAAUGAAGUGCCAUUCUUUGGUGCUCUGUUUCAGAGCGCAACCAAGUUGUUGA
rnacentral:rRNA from 1 species